GCUCCUGUGGCCUAGUGGUUGAAGCGUCCACUUCGGAUGCGGGAGGUCGUGGGUUCAAUCCCCGGUCGAGUCA